GGGGAUCCGGCGAUGCGUCUGCAAGAGAAAGAAGGGGAUCUGACGCUGCGUGAGAGUUGAGAGGCCGAUGCAGACGGUUGCUGCAAGAGAACGAGGAGCAGAUGGAUCGAUCAGUCAUGGAUCUCAUGGCGACGGUGCACCCUAUCUGUGCGGCGGCGGGUGAUGUCGCCACUGCCACAUGUCCUUGGUAGCCUUAACCGCGCCAGUGGUGGAGCCGGCGAGCCGGCGACUUUGGGUCAUGUCGCCACUGUCACGUCUAUAACAGCGCGAAAGGCAGUGUUGGGUCGGUAAGGCAAGAACUCAGCCGUGCCAGGAGUAUACCUCAGCCACGCUUUUCUAGGGACGCAAAGGGUGAAGAUAAGUUUUUCUUUUCUUACUUAAUUCUUAAUUUCUGAUUUGAUGUUGCUAUUUAGGGUUAUCGUCAAUUAUCCCUGCAGUGAGUCGUGUUCAAAGAAAUCCUCACAUUCAUUGGAACUGGUGAUCAGAGAUCGAAAGAACCCGUACGUGUCAAUCGUGACCAUCAGUCAAUGUCACAUCGCAAUUAUCAUGUAGCCCAAAGGAGAGCCACAUAAUUGACCAUGAGGCCUGUACUACCAUCCUGUCGAAUGCAACGCACAAGUGUAAAACGCAAGAGAUGAACCCUAAAACAAUGGACGUUCGCGACCCUCUGUUCCGAUUGCGCUGCCUAACCUUGGCCUCAGAUUGCAUCGGCGGCUGCGCUAGGUUUGCACGGACGAGGCGUACAAUGCGUCCGUGGUCCGUUCGGUCGCACGGACGAGAGCGGCGCGGCCGGAUGGGGCAUGGAUGCGAGCGGCACAGCCAGAUGGGGCGUGGCGGCCAAUAGCCAUGAAGUUCAAUCGCGAACGAUGAUUGAUUGAGAGCCUAUAAAAUCCCAACCUUGCCCCUAUUGGGCUCAUUUUCGCAAACCAAUCUCCAGUACAAAAGUGAUGGGUGAUGCUCAGGUUCCAACUCUGUUUGGUUUCAAGGUGAUGUGCUGGUUCCAAUUCUCAGUUGUUGUCUUCAUAAUUUUAAAUGAUUACAGCUUCUCUCCAAGUAGGAAUUUUCGCUACAUUCUGGUUGGUUUCUUUGGUUCUUACAGCUGAUCUAAUGGCUAACGGAGAGCAGGUUAUUUAGAAAGUGAAAAAUGCGGAAAAGAAGCCACGAUUAAUGCCAGUCGAUGCUUCGGGCAGGUUUCACACGUUGACAGAUUUCAGGCUGGUUCUGCUGGGUUAGAAGUUGUACUCGAUAUGAAACUACUUGGAUGGACCAGCAUACAAGAAUUUCUAAGAAAGUCAUAGCAGCGCUCCUCUCAUGCUUUGGAGAAAGUGAACCGUAUGAUCUUCAUGUUAUUUGUGUCAACCAUAAUGUGUCUGGCCCAUGGCCCUGUGUACUGCACCGAUGCUGACAAACCCAUUUUCAUAUUCCAUCACAUUCAUGUUAAUUUUCUGACAAGACCAAGGGAUGGAAAUCCAAAACUCCUAAAUAUACUCAUGAGAUGCAAAUCACGUGGAUCAACCUUGUGAAGGAACACCAACAACACAAUCGAUUUCACAUAAGGCUGCAAAAAUUGUAAUUUAUGGGGAAGUUGUGGUGCAGCCAACCAAAGGCGUGGAUGUUGCCAGCGGCCACAAGGAUAUCUAAUUAUGUCAUUUUUGUUGGCAUAAUCUGGUUGCUGCAGCCAGUGAACUAUGAGAGACUUUGAGCACUCGAAAGCAACUAACCAAAUUUAAGAUUCACAAACAAUGAAGAUUUCGUUGGUGCACUAUAUAUGUAUACUGGUAUAUGUUUAUUUCAUAUUUGUGUUGUUGCUUAUUAUCGGUCUUGAAGAUACAGAUUAGCUAUAUUUACCAAGUGCACACUUAUACCAAAGCCCAUGUGUACAUAUGAUAUUUCUCUCCAUUACUGACUAAUAGACGUUUCUGUUUGUG